GUCCCACAAACAGCGUUCCACGUAUUUAGUUCAGCUUUCACUUUCAAAAACAACCAUUCGUAUUUCCUAGUUAAAUUACUGAUAAAGGCUCAAUUUUUGACCUUAUUUAUGACAUAAUCUUUGCUUUUCUACAAAACCCAGUUGAAGAAACUGUAAGAUUCUCUACGUUUUUACUUAAUCGAGCUCAUUUUCACAAAAAAAGAAGUUCCUUUCUUGAUUCUUGAUU
rnacentral:lncRNA from 1 species